UUUCUGGUGAGCCAGUAUGCCCUUCACUGGGUGUAUUGGGGAACCAGGACUUUUACCUUGAAAAAAUUAGAGUGUUCAAAGCAGGCCUAUGCUUGAAUACAUUAGCAUGGAAUAAUAGAAUAGGACUUGGGUUCUAUUUUGUUGGUUUCUAGGACCGAAGUAAUGAUUAAUAGGGAUAGUUGGGGGCAUUAGUAUUUAGUAGCUAGAGGUGAAAUUCUUGGAUUUACGAAAGACUAACUUCUGCGAAAGCAUUUGCCAAGGAUGUUUUCAUUAAUCAAGAACGAAAGUUAGGGGAUCGAAGACGAUCAGAUACCGUCGUAGUCUUAACCAUAAACUAUGCCGACUAGGGAUCAGACGAUGUUAAUUUACUGACUCGUUUGGCACCUUAUGAGAAAUCAAAGUUUUUGGGUUCCGGGGGGAGUAUGGUCGCAGGGCUGAAACUUAAAGGAAUUGACGGAAGGGCACCACCAGGAGUGGAGCCUGCGGCUUAAUUUGACUCAACACGGGGAAACUCACCAGGUCCAGACAUAGUAAGGAUUGACAGAUUGAGAGCUCUUUCUUGAUUCUAUGGGUGGUGGUGCAUGGCCGUUCUUAGUUGGUGGAGUGAUUUGUCUGCUUAAUUGCGUUAACGAACGAGACCUUAACCUGCUAAAUAGUUAUGCCAACUCUUGUUGGUAGUCAACUUCUUAGAGGGACUGUCGGCGAUUAGCCGACGGAAGUUUUAGGCAAUACCAGGUCUGUUAUGCCCUUAGAUGUCCUGGGCCCCCGCGCG
rnacentral:rRNA from 1 species